CGAGGAUCACUGGUGAGGAUCAUUGUCAAAGCCUCAGAGCCAACCUGCUGAGUCAGUUCCCUCACCUGUAAAACGGUGGCUUUAGACUGGAAGAUGCUGAUGGUCUGCUGGGCUUGAAAGUCCGAUAUGUCUCUGAGCCUUUGACUUGGAGCCAGCAGCCUCCUGGAUGAUGGCCCUGAGGAGACUCUGGGGUUCUUUUCCAGCUCUUGAGCCUGUUUGGCAGCCACAGAUGGGCCUCCAGGGCAGAAGGAAAGCCAGGAGCCAAGAGGCUGCCUUGUGUGAGUGAGCGAUUUGUGCAAGGAUGAUUUGUGAGGGCAGAGCCCAGGGCAGCAGGGCUGGGUUUCCUGGGGCUGCUGGUGAACUCCGACAUCUGCUAUUUUUCACUCCAGUGAGACCGAUUUGCUCCAGAUAGGGCCCUGCAGACUGUUUUCAGCUGUGCUGGGAAGUGUGGCGGCUGGCUGUGUUUCAUCUCCAAGCCCUCUGCGAGACAGCGUAGCACGUGUUAACUGCUUGAGCAGAGAGGCCAGUGGAUUCUCCAUAGACCUCAACUCCAGAUGAUCCUUUCUGAGUAGACUUUUAUUCCCUGAGGUGUUACCUCUACUUCAAAGGAAUGUCUGCCCUCGAUCUGAGGGGCUGCCUGACUUGGCCCACCCCUUACGAUUGCUGGCCAUGGAUCUGAGAGAAUGCGGGUGUAGCACCCUGAAGGAACCAUUCUGCCGUCUCAUCUUGAGUUGGCCUUUUUAUGAUGAGUUAAACAGUCCUAAGCUAACAGCCCAUCAGAACAGCCCAUUGCAGCUGAUCUUCCUGGCAAGAAGACCUGUCUUCUGGAACUCUUCUAUACUUGCUCUUCUCGGAAAUCCUGGCCCUGCACGCCUCUUCCAUCCAUACGUAAUUAGCCAAACUGUUUUCCAAAUGGACUCUGCUGAGAGGGAGGCAGAGAAUAAAGCUCAGCUUGCUCUUCAUUCAUUGGGGAAAGAAAGGCCUGGGUCUUAAUGAAAAAUAAAGAAUUCUGCAGACGAA